GUGAAUCGGAAUUGCACGAAAAAGUUAGAAUUCAGAAUUUCUAUCUCACUGUUCUUAAAAUUCUGAAACUUUAUCAUUGAAUUUAAAUGUUAUAUCUCGUAUUCAUGUACUAAAAGUCACCGUUUGCUCUUUUUUUUUUUAAUUCAGUGGUAGAUACGGGCUUAAAAAUAUAUUUUAUUUAGUUUUAUUCGAUUUUAUUGAUAUUUUUGAACUCAGUGUCAUCAAUUGUGUAAUAUUAGGCUUGAAGUUGUGAAACUGGCCGAGUCACAGCAGGUAAAAAUAUUUAAAUGUCCAUUAGCAUGAGACUGAAUGAGGAAAUGUGAGGGACUAGAAAAAUGAGAAAAAACAAAGAGAGAGAGAGAGUUAGCCUGAAGCCAGGACGAGAGGAACCUGCUCGGUGACAUCACUGCUGCCCUGAGGCUCUUCUGAUUGGCUGAGAGAUGUUGAGAGGUGAUGUGUCACCAGUGUUUGAGAGAGAGAGAGAGAGAGAGAGAGAGAGAUGUUGUUCUUCCCCUGUCAGUGUGGAGUCAGUCUGCAGUAUGUUGCUCUUUUAAAACCGAAUGAGUGAAGUUGGGAUGUAUUUCUUGUAGCUCUGGACGCUUGACUGCAGGUUUCUUUAGUUCAGUCUGAGACCUUUGCAUUCAGAAGAGCAGGCACGUUGAUACUCCAUCGCACAGCCUCUAUGGUGUCACACGAGCUGGAGUUACUGUAAAGACAGAAAGACAGAGCCAAUGCAGGAUAAAGGAAGAGCUCAUGUCUUCAUCCAGAAAGCAGUGAAGUCAGGACACUGUGUUUGUUUUUAGGAGGCGUCACUAAAGGUUCCUGGUUUUUCUUUCAUUCGGGGCCUGUGUUCAGUGACCGAGGGCAGGCAUGCAGAGGAGAUGAACCGAAACGCUGUCCUCCAGCGGCCCAGAAGAUGCAAACAAGAGAUUUUCUGAUGAAAAAUGGGUCUAAAAACCCGUUUUCAUGCAUAAGAUAAAUGAAUUUACACUUCAGUUUGGGAUUACAGAAAUGAUUACAGAAUCACUCUGUGGAGAUCAAAAUGAGAAAACAAUCUAUAUAAUAGUUAUAGCUAUAAUAAUAUUAUUAAUCAUUAUUAGUGCUGUCAAAUGAUUAAAUGCAUCCAAAUACA